rnacentral:rRNA from 1 species
AUACGGAGGGUCCAAGCGUUAUCCGGAUUCAUUGGGUUUAAAGGGUCCGCAGGCGGGAAAAUAAGUCAGUGGUGAAAGCCUACAGCUCAACUGUAGAACUGCCAUUGAUACUGUUUUUCUUGAGUAUAGAUGAAGUGGGCGGAAUAUAUCAUGUAGCGGUGAAAUGCAUAGAUAUGAUAUAGAACACCGAUUGCGAAGGCAGCUCACUAAACUAUUACUGACGCACAGGGACGAAAGCGUGGGGAGCGAACAGGAUUAGAAACCCUAGUAGUCC